AUCGACAAACGAACCAGCAAAGCAACCAGCCCCCGUGUCAGUGCAAACAGCUCUUUCUGCUGCGCGGGGUAUCGCUGCUGUACAGGCGGGCGGCUAAAGCCCUCUGUCGCUGCUCUUGGCUUCACGCAGCCCCGUCGGAUUCGCUUCGCUGUUGCUAGCUAGCGCUUUCUAGCGCCGUUUAAAAUAGAAUCAAGAAUGUUCCCUGCCGAUUUCCCCAGCAGCGCUUGCUGAGCCGUGCCAGGCACCGCGGCGCCCGUUCCUGCAACCUGCCUCCGUACGGGAACGCCAGGUGGGGAAGCCAGUCUUGCGCUCGGAGAAAGAAGCCCGAGGAGCCCGGCAGCAGCCACUGCGGAGCUUGCUCAGAAGUUCACUCCCUCUGUCACAGUGUAUGCAGUUUGCCAGGGUUGGGAAUUAUAGCAGGUGCCUGAACUAUUAAGGAGUGCAAAGGAAUGGGACACACAGGUAGUGAUCAAGUGCUCGCCUCUGCCAGUACGUCAGAGAGACUGCCCAGACCUGCAAAGGUGCCGCUUUUCAUGUUCACUCUCAAGGCUUCCCAUGUGAGUUUUCAACAUUUGGGCUACAGCUUGGACAGACAUUUUCUCCCUUGAUGCUACCUGGUUUACAUCACAGCACCUGGAUCCAAGACUGAAGAGUUUUAGGUGGAGAUAAGAAUCAGCCAGGAGGAGGAUUUUCCCAAUGCGCUAAAGAAAGAAAUAACGAAGAGGACUGGGGAUUUAAAGCCUCAUGUGCUUUGAAAGAACCCUGUAUCUCCUUUUAACCAGAGAAAUGAAGUUCAACUGCCAGAUGUGUGGACCAGAUGCCGUGGCCUGAGACUUGUUUGCCAACAAACACAGAGCCUCGUGGGACAUCCUUUCUGCUCGACACCCCUGUCCCAUCCUUUCUGCUCCUCUCUCUGGGUGGGGGCAGCUGUAUUUGCCGUGCUCUGCACAUCUGUGGCCUCCUUUGCUAUGGCUCUGGUAUCAACUCUGAUCUAAAGGUCAGGUUCAGCUCACCAGAUGGGUGUAGUUGGUAUGAGGAUUAGGUAAAUCCCAUGUUAGCAAAUGCAGGGGAGAGUAGAUACAGUUGAAGUGGGUGCCAGGCUUAUGCUGAAAUUGUCUCCACCCAGGAUGUAGAUAGCACCCUACAAUUAGCCAGGUUAAUCCUUCCCACUGGGGUUUUCAGAGCUCUUUCCCAAGUUGGGACAUCGCUAUUGAGGAAAGCCAUAGCAUAAGAAACCAGGCUGUGGAUUUGAACCCCUAGCCAUCCUGCUCUAGCUGUCUGCACUGUGGCUUUUGCACAAGGAAUCUUUUUUUUUGUGGAUUACAGAAUCACAGAAUCACAGAAUCGUUUAGGUUGGAUGGGACCU